rnacentral:rRNA from 1 species
UACGGAGGGGGCUAGCGUUGUCCGAAGUUACCGGGCGUAAAGCGCGCGUAGGCGGGUUGGUAAGUCCGCUGUGAAAGCCCGGAGCUUAACUCCGGAGGGUCGGUGGAUACUGCCAGUCUUGAAGGUGCUAGGGGGAGAUGGAAUUACCGGUGUAGUGGUGAAAUGCGUAGAGAUCCGGAGGAACACCGGUGGCGAAGGCGGGUCUCUGGGCCGAUACUGACGCUGAGGAGCGAAAGCGUGGGGAGCGAACAGG